CCUACGGGAGGCAGCAGUGGGGAAUAUUGGGCAAUGGAGGAAACUCUGACCCAGCAACGCCGCGUGAAUGAUGAAGGUCUUCGGAUUGUAAAGGUCUUUUCUAAGGGAAGAAGAAAGUGACGGUACCGUAGGAAUAAGCCUCGGCUAACUACGUGCCAGCAGCCGCGGUAAUACGUAGGAGGCGAGCUUUAUCCGGACUGACUGGGCGUAAAGGGUGCGUAGGGGGUUUGGCAAGUUAGUAGCGUUACUCCAAGGCUCAACCUUGGAACUCCUACUAAAACGGUUGGACUUGAGUGCAGGCGGGGCAACCGGCAUUCCUAGUGUAGCGUUGUCAUGCGUAGAUAUUAGGAGGAACACCAGUGGCGAAGGCGGGUUGCUAGACUGUAACUGACACUGUGGCACG
rnacentral:rRNA from 1 species